rnacentral:lncRNA from 1 species
GGGGUUUGUAUGUGAUAGUUGCCGCAGUACAUUUAGUUCUACCUAAGUCCUUGUAAUAUUAUCCUAGCUACAAGCUUAAGCCUGGCUACAAACUAGUAUUUUGUUUUAUUCUUAAAUUCAGCGUGUGUAGCAGUGCAAAAUAUAUAUCAACAAUAUUCCUACUUUCGAGGUUAAUACAAUGUUCUGCGACACCAUGGAUUCAGUUUUCU